rnacentral:rRNA from 1 species
GGGUUGUGAGGUUAAGCGACUAAGCGUACACGGUGGAUGCCCUGGCAGUCAGAGGCGAUGAAGGACGUGCUAAUCUGCGAUAAGCGUCGGUAAGGUGAUAUGAACCGUUAUAACCGGCGAUUUCCGAAUGGGGAAACCCAGUGUGAUUCGUCACACUAUCAUUAACUGAAUCCAUAGGUUAAUGAGGCGAACCGGGGGAACUGAAACAUCUAAGUACCCCGAGGAAAAGAAAUCAACCGAGAUUCCCCCAGUAGCGGCGAGCGAACGGGGAGGAGCCCAGAGCCUGAAUCAGUGUGUGUGUUAGUGGAAGCGUCUGGAAAGGCGCGCGAUACAGGGUGACAGCCCCGUACACAAAAAUGCACAUGCUGUGAGCUCGAUGAGUAGGGCGGGACACGUGGUAUCCUGUCUGAAUAUGGGGGGACCAUCCUCCAAGGCUAAAUACUCCUGACUGACCGAUAGUGAACCAGUACCGUGAGGGAAAGGCGAAAAGAACCCCGGCGAGGGGAGUGAAAAAGAACCUGAAACCGUGUACGUACAAGCAGUGGGAGCACGCUUAGGCGUGUGACUGCGUACCUUUUGUAUAAUGGGUCAGCGACUUAUAUUCUGUAGCAAGGUUAACCGAAUAGGGGAGCCGAAGGGAAACCGAGUCUUAACUGGGCGUUAAGUUGCAGGGUAUAGACCCGAAACCCGGUGAUCUAGCCAUGGGCAGGUUGAAGGUUGGGUAACACUAACUGGAGGACCGAACCGACUAAUGUUGAAAAAUUAGCGGAUGACUUGUGGCUGGGGGUGAAAGGCCAAUCAAACCGGGAGAUAGCUGGUUCUCCCCGAAAGCUAUUUAGGUAGCGCCUCGUGAAUUCAUCUCCGGGGGUAGAGCACUGUUUCGGCAAGGGGGUCAUCCCGACUUACCAACCCGAUGCAAACUGCGAAUACCGGAGAAUGUUAUCACGGGAGACACACGGCGGGUGCUAACGUCCGUCGUGAAGAGGGAAACAACCCAGACCGCCAGCUAAGGUCCCAAAGUCAUGGUUAAGUGGGAAACGAUGUGGGAAGGCCCAGACAGCCAGGAUGUUGGCUUAGAAGCAGCCAUCAUUUAAAGAAAGCGUAAUAGCUCACUGGUCGAGUCGGCCUGCGCGGAAGAUGUAACGGGGCUAAACCAUGCACCGAAGCUGCGGCAGCGACACUAUGUGUUGUUGGGUAGGGGAGCGUUCUGUAAGCCUGUGAAGGUGUGCUGUGAGGCAUGCUGGAGGUAUCAGAAGUGCGAAUGCUGACAUAAGUAACGAUAAAGCGGGUGAAAAGCCCGCUCGCCGGAAGACCAAGGGUUCCUGUCCAACGUUAAUCGGGGCAGGGUGAGUCGACCCCUAAGGCGAGGCCGAAAGGCGUAGUCGAUGGGAAACAGGUUAAUAUUCCUGUACUUGGUGUUACUGCGAAGGG